GUCAUUUUGUUUACCUAGUUACCCGCAUGUUUAUUUAACCCCUUAAGGACAUUUAACAUGUGUGACAUGUCAUGAUUCCCUUUUAUUUCAGAAGUUUGGUCCUUAGGGGCUUAAUCUGCCCCUCCAUCAGAAAGACAUGCUCUACAACACAGGAACCAAAUACAUCCGGUCUCUGAAAGGAUAACAGGCCCGGCAGCCAGAUAGCACAUCUGUUGAUCGAGGCCAGGAUUCCCCCGC